UACGGAGGAUGCAAGCGUUAUCCGGAAUGAUUGGGCGUAAAGCGUCCGCAGGUGGCAAUGUAAGUCUGCUGUCAAAGCGUCUGGCUCAACCAGAUAAAGGCAGUGGAAACUACAUAGCUAGAGUAAGGUAGGGGUAGAGGGAAUUCCUGGUGUAGCGGUGAAAUGCGUAGAGAUCAGGAAGAACACCGGUGGCGAAGGCGGCUUCCUGGACCGACACUGACGCUGAGGCGCGAAAGCUAGGGGAGCAAACGGG
rnacentral:rRNA from 1 species